GUCCGCACUGUAAACGAUGAUUACUCGCUGCUUGAGGGUGACCUUGAGUGGCUUAGCGAAAGCGAUAAGUAAUCCACCUGGGGAGUACGCCGGCAACGGUGAAACUCAAAGGAAUUGACGGGGCCCGCACAAGCGGAGGAGCAUGUGGUUUAAUUCGAUGAUACGCGAGGAACCUUACCAGGGCUUGAAAGUUAGGGAAUGAUUCUGAAAGGAGUAAGUCAGCAAUGACCCGAAACUAGGUGCUGCAUGGCUGUCGU
rnacentral:rRNA from 1 species